rnacentral:pre_miRNA from 1 species
UUAACUCAAAUUUGUAUGCAGUUGGAACAGCGCCCUUAGCGGCAAACUUAGGCAAACGUUCCAACUUCAUACAAAUUUUAGUUA